GCCGCGCCGCCGAGAGAGACUGCUGAAAGGUGCGUGGUUGUUACUGCUGCUGUCGUUCCUACUUCCUAGCGGUCAGAUUGCGCACAGUAGCUUUUAAUUUUCUCGGAACGAGGGGCGGGGGGAGGGUUGCGCCUUCGACACGACUGAUGAUUUGCUGCCCGGCGUGUCACAUGCAGAUUCGUAGAACAGCGAUAGGGAAAAAGUAUGUGCAGUGACCCUGUCUGCAUUGCAGGAUUCAGGGAAAUUGACAGUUGUAUGCAAAGGUUAAUUUGUUAACAAAUUGGAGUGUGAGUCUGGUUAAGAAAUCCUUUUUGAAACAACAUCCCGUGACCGCGAUGCUAUUUCUAACGCGGUUGUCGUUAGCGAAAGUUCGUAUGUGUCAAACCAACCAUUUGACAUUAGCAGCAUUGGCUUCAGGUGAGGUGAAUCGUCCAUUAACUUGUGAAGCACUUCGCCUUGCUGGACGAAAGCACGCGGAAGCUUUCUACCGGCCUCGAUGGCUCGUUCUUCCCGCUGCCAAGAUCUGCAUCAUUCAGUGUAUGGAUGGGAUAACAUUCUUUUAAGCCGCCGCUUACCUAAAAGGGUGCCGGGACGUAAGGUUUUAGUUGACUGCUUUGCAUUACAGGAAUGCUUGCGAAGCUCGCUCAAACUUGAACAUAUCAACAGCUUGGUAGUAUUAAAUGACUGACUAAUGAAUUUCUCAGCGUUUCAUUUGGAUUUAAGAUUAUCUCAAUCUCGUUUAGCAUCGUGUGCAUGUGUGUGUUGUCACCAAGCUAUUUAAAACUUCUAGAAUGCUGGAGGUUAUUGUACUGUACCUUCUCGUUUGCCCGAUCAUGGGAAGUUAGUGAUGGUUGUGUACAAGAAAAGAAGUUUAACUAACAUAGCGAAGAUGCAGUGGUAUCAAUAUGGAACCAUUAUUUGUUGCUAGUGAUGAGACAUACUAAUGACCGGUGAAAGGUAGCUUCUACCUUCCGCAUCUUGUUUAUAUUUAUCCGAAGACUGCUAGCAGGUUGCAUACUUAGAAGAUAUGUUCACAUUGCCGUAUCCAUACUGAUCCGCGCUGUGUUUCUGGAGUUACCUGACGAACAACGACACUUACAUAUAUUAUAGCUGGAAGCUUCAUAUAUAAUACUUUUACUUAAUCCAACGUGAUGCUGUCACGAAGAAGGACAUUUUCAUUUGUGGAGGGCAAAAAUGGAAUAUCAUGAUAGGCAAGUGAACAAGUGAUCAUAAUGUUUCUUAUUUUGGUCUUAUCUACAACAGAUUAUCCAGCAGUUGGUGUUGUAAAGGUGUACAUCGUAUGUACCAACGCAUAUCACUGCUAUAUAGCAUAAUCUCCAAUGCUUCCAGCCUCCUACAGCAUUUGCAAAUUAUCCUGCAGAUCACAAUUUUCUGUUACAUCAUACAGCAAAGAUAAUAGAAUAAUAGUUUUUAUUUUUUAACAAGUCUGGGCAUGUCGAGCUAAGUCCUGCAAAUCGAUGGAUGUAUUCUUUGUGUAAACAAGAAAAAAGUCCUCCCUCAACUGAUAAAGAACAAAAUUUAAGGUUUUGCAUGCUAAUUAGUAUUACAAUCCCUGAACGAUCAUAGUCUCUAUGAACACACAUAUGCAUAACCUCAUAUUUACUGCCACUGUGUCUGGGAGAGGCUGCUGUAUUGACAUGUUGAAUAUUGUUGAAAUCUUUAGAGACUUUUCCAGUAAUUUGUUCGUUGUGCGUUGGCGCUCAUGAUUUUUUUUUUCUUGAAAUAUCUGUGGUAGAUCCUCAAUAGUGUGCAGUUUGCUGAUUUCGAACAAGGAAAAAACAUAUCGUACCAAAGCAGCCUCUCCUCUUGAGGGUGAUACUUGCCUUGCCCUUGGUACUAGUGGUUGUCGUACCCCUUUUGAGUUUGUUCACGUUGGUGGCCUAAUAAUUGAUUGGCCAACUAAAUCACUAUUAUAUCUUCAGCUUCAUGGUUACUGUCCACUAACACGUUAUGAACGUUUGGUUUUCCGAAGGAGUAGUCUGGUUUGUCUAGAGAGUGAGGCACAGGCUUACAACAGCAUUCACAUUCAUUUCCUAAUGAGGUAAGCCUGUCAAUGUUCUCUGUUGGUUGGAUUCGUUUGCUUUAUGCACCAUUGAUCAAUUCGAAUGUCAAAGAAGCAAGAACAGUGUUCUUUCCCUGACAAAUUAAUGCUCAUCUUAGUUUAACUGUGUACUACAAGAAAGCAGUAAGGUUAACAAGGGUUGGUGGAUUGAAAUUUUAACUACAAACUGAUAAGGUCCUAUGAACCUUGGUGGAGAGCAGAGGUUCUUCAUCUAGGUUCUACAUGGCAGUAUUUAGUUGGUCACGUUUUUUAUCAUGUACAAUUUUUAUGUGAUUCUAGCACCAAGAUAUAAAAUUGUGUUGUUGGAUUAUGCUCCAAAAUCCCAGUUUCAGAUAAGAAAUGCUCAUCAUGUGAUAAUUCACCUACAUUCUUGGAUUUUUGUCAGAUUCAUUCUAGCUAGGCUCAGCAAGAUGAUGUUGGUUUGACGGGAUACAACAGCCUACAAAACUUCUCCUCAAAAAGCAAUGUGAUUAAUGCUUUUUGUGUCAUGUGCGCAUUUGUUGAUUGUUGUAUUGCAAAUGAAGUCAAGCCUUCCUUUGCGCUGUACUUCUCCCAAGGUUCACAUCAUUAACCAACUUUGUACUCCUAGUAAAGGUUUGCCUUUUGUUAUGCUCGCCGGUUUGCUGCAAUAAUGCAUGGGAUUAGUUAUGUUUAUUGUGAAAUGGCUUUAUCUGAUGGAAAUGAAGUCUAAUUGUGAAACACUUAAUGUUUGAAAUUACAUGUCAGUCAUGUUUUUAACUACAUCAUUAUGAAUCCGAUUGUGUGAGAAACUCAUACAGUGAAAAUAGAUAGGAAAGUUCUUUUGUUGUCAGUGACUUGCCUGUACCAAAAUGUGGAUUGAUUCAUAAGUAGAAAAUAAUGAUACUAAGCUCUGCCCCUGUUGAUGUGCUCUUUGAAGUUGAAGAGAUCAAUCCUACGUCAUGGAUGCGUGAGAGAGAUUGACCCGCAACUACUCUCUGUGACCAAUUGAUAGAAUCACGUCAAUGCCAAACGGAGUCUUACUGAUAAAGUUAUCAAAUUAUUCAACGUCAUCACCCAAACAACGACCAAAUUAAAGUAGCCGUUUACAUCAAAGUUGUUUGUAAGAAACUUGGGCACGCAAUCGCUUGUUGUCGGCAUCCUUACCCCACUGCCAAGAUUUGUUAGCUAAGCAUUCAUCUACUCACAGUAGACCUAACAGAGAUAUAUAAUUGCAUAAUUCCUGUUGGCUGCACACUGGGAGGUUUGAAAUACAAGUACCUGGAUUUCUUGUAGAUAAGAGCAUUCCACAGGAGUAGCUUUCAUGGUCAUAGAAAAUAGAUACUGAACUUCCAUCCUACCCGUAUGCACUGUGCAUGGUUUAUGUCCUUUCACUUUCAUUUUAAUCAUUCAAGGAAAACAUGAAAUCUUUUUUUUUCGACAUCUGCAAGGCUGAUAUUGCUUACUCAAUAUGGGUAUUUGUAGCAGCAUAACUGGAUAAGUGAUGUAUACGCCUUGUGUAGCACUCGUAGCAAUGAUGCAGUCCAGUAAUGCUGGGGGGCAUAAAUCAAUUUAUUUUUUGUUAUUCAAUGGUACAUCAACCUACGGACAUCAAUGGAUAUUUUGUGGCAUACAUAAACCUAUGGACAAUAAUUGAUGUGUUUGUGGAAUUAUAGGUGGUAGAUAUCUUUGUUGACUUGGAGAUUAGACGGGGAGGAAGAGAAGACUAAAGAAAAUACUUAGAAUUAUGCCUUGGCAUAUCUCUCAUUUAAAGCUGUAGACAGAAACGGAAUGUUAUGUCUUCAGAACCUAAAUGUUUGGAUCUUAUCUGCUGCUAUUAAGUGUCUUUUUCAGCUCAUGUGUUAUCUAAUAAGCAUGGAGCCUUUUUAUUUCAUGCUUAUGGAUAAACAGAUCCUCAGGCAUAGUCAUGAAUCAAAUGGAUAAACAAUAAUAUUUUUUAUUUCACUUAGAAUAUGCUAUCUUUUACUAUGUUCAUUUGAUCAAAAGCAUCAUCUUGUACAAUUCAACUUUUAUCCCAAAAGCAUGAUGCAACAUUUCUUUUGUCAACGGUGGAGAAAAGUUGGGCAUCCGUCAGCAUUUUCUUGAUUCUCGCGAACAUUUGCUCUUAUUCACUACAUGAGUUAUGAGAUUGAAAGUUGAUUGGCUCACUGUUUUGUUUGAAAUGUGUAAUUGACUGCAUUUUUGGAUGACUUGUUAUUUUUCCAACAGGGAACAGUUCGACCAGAAAGUUUUGACAGAUGCAAAUUCCUUGAUGCCUUAGACAUCAGCAUUCUAUCUUUCACAGUCUUGACAUAGAUUCUGCAGUUGUAGCAAAGAAAUCUCUGUUUCGCUUGCUGGUUGGUCCACUUUUUAGGUGUUCUUAGGUAGGAAAAACAUGCCAGUAUGGAAUUGUGAUAUUUGUUAGAGAACAGGUCAACAGCAACAAUAACGUCGUCUCUGUCUGUUAAGGAACAAUGCCAAGAGGCACACUGCAAACAAGGAUACAGUUCAGGUCUGUUGUUCUUUCUUUUCCCCCACUCCAUCCCCACUGCAUUCAUUCUUGGACAAAGCUUAACCCUUCAUGUGUUUCUUUCAUCUUUUGGGCAGGAAAAACAUCUCUGCACCAACGAGGAGACUAUCAGUGGGAGCAGUGUCCAGAAAGGCGGCCGCUUAUGGCCCCGCGGCAUAUAGGCUCCAGACGACACACUCUCGUCUCGCUCCCUGGUCGCUGGUCGAUUUAUCCCGCAUAAUCGGUGAUUUUGGUGCUGGUCUGUGGUGUCACAAAUGUCUGGCGCCUUACUGAACACUGCGUGCAGUGAGGGAGAAGUUAUGUUCUCAAACGUCCGGUGCAGAGACCUGAGUGUUUCCAUCUACAAGCUUGCUUUUCUUCGAGAUUCCUUCUGUACUGCACAUUUUUGUUAGUGUUCUAGCGUGUGUGUGUGUGUUUGAAAAUUCAUGUACAUUUUACCUGUAUUUUUACUGACAGGGUCUGUCACCUGUGGCAAAAAUCACAUAUUUGACCUGAGAGCGAAAUCAAAUCAUAAACUGACCUGCU
rnacentral:lncRNA from 1 species